AUACGUAGGUGACAAGCGCUAUCCGGAUUUACUGGGCGUAAAGGGCGUGUAGGCGGUCUUGCAAGUCAGAAGUGAAAUUCCUGAGCUCAACUCGGGCGCUGCUUCUGAAACUGCAGGACUUGAGUGCUGGAGGGGAUAGCGGAAUUCCUGGUGGAGCGGUAAAAUGCGCAGAUAUUAGGAAGAACACCGGUGGCGAAGGCGGCUAUCUGGACAGUAACUGACGCUGAGGCGCGAAAGCGUGGGAGCAAGCAGGAUUAGAUACCCUGGUAGUCCACACUGUAAACGAUGAAUGCUAGGUGUAAGAGGUAUCGACCCCUUUUGUGCCGGAGUUAACACAAUAAGCAUUCCGCCUGGGGAGUACGGCCGCAAGGUUGAAACUCAAAUGAAUUGACGGGG
rnacentral:rRNA from 1 species